rnacentral:rRNA from 1 species
AGCGAACGCUGGCGGCAGGCCUAACACAUGCAAGUCGAACGAACUCUUCGGAGUUAGUGGCGGACGGGUGAGUAACACGUGGGAACGUGCCUUUAGGUUCGGAAUAACUCAGGGAAACUUGUGCUAAUACCGAAUGUGCCCUUCGGGGGAAAGAUUUAUCGCCUUUAGAGCGGCCCGCGUCUGAUUAGCUAGUUGGUGGGGUAAUGGCCCACCAAGGCGACGAUCAGUAGCUGGUCUGAGAGGAUGACCAGCCACAUUGGGACUGAGACACGGCCCAAACUCCUACGGGAGGCAGCAGUGGGGAAUCUUGCGCAAUGGGCGAAAGCCUGACGCAGCCAUACCGCGUGUAUGAUGAAGGUCUUAGGAUUGUAAAAUACUUUCACCGGUGAAGAUAAUGACUGUAGCCGGAGAAGAAGCCCCGGCUAACUUCGUGCCAGCAGCCGCCGCGGUAA